GGGUUGUGAGGUUAAGCGACUAAGCGUACACGGUGGAUGCCCUGGCAGUCAGAGGCGAUGAAGGGCGUGCUAAUCUGCGAUAAGCGCCGGUAAGGUGAUAUGAACCGUUAUAACCGGCGAUACCCGAAUGGGGAAACCCAGUGUGAUUCGUCACACUAUCAUUAACUGAAUCCAUAGGUUAAUGAGGCGAACCGGGGGAACUGAAACAUCUAAGUACCCCGAGGAAAAGAAAUCAACCGAGAUUCCCCCAGUAGCGGCGAGCGAACGGGGAGGAGCCCAGAGCCUGAAUCAGCAUGUGUGUUAGUGGAAGCGUCUGGAAAGGCGCGCGAUACAGGGUGACAGCCCCGUACACAAAAGCGCAUGUGCUGUGAGCUCGAUGAGUAGGGCGGGACACGUGGUAUCCUGUCUGAAUAUGGGGGGACCAUCCUCCAAGGCUAAAUACUCCUGACUGACCGAUAGUGAACCAGUACCGUGAGGGAAAGGCGAAAAGAACCCCGGCGAGGGGAGUGAAAAAGAACCUGAAACCGUGUACGUACAAGCAGUGGGAGCACAGGUUUACCUGUGUGACUGCGUACCUUUUGUAUAAUGGGUCAGCGACUUAUAUUCUGUAGCAAGGUUAACCGAAUAGGGGAGCCGGAGCGAAACACAGACAUAAUUGGGCGUUA
rnacentral:rRNA from 1 species